rnacentral:misc_RNA from 1 species
AAGUCGUAACAAGGUAACCGUAGGUGAACCUGCGGUUGGAUCAUUAAUGUAAUUGAAAAAGACUUUGGUCUUUUCUCAAAUUGGGGAUGGAAAACUCUUUGGAGUUGAAAAUCCUUUUCACCUAUUGUGAACUGUUUAAAGUAUUUGGUCAUUGGUAUGAAUGACUACUUUUAGUCUUUAUGCCUUUGACUGUUUUAAUAAACAUUGUAUUUUCUUUUAUGGUUUUUCAUUAUAAUGAAUAUUAUAAUUUGAAACAACUUUUGGCAACGGAUCUCUUGGCUCUCGUAACGAUGAAAAACGCAGC